rnacentral:rRNA from 1 species
GAUGAACGCUAGCGGGAGGCCUAACACAUGCAAGCCGAGCGGUAUUGUUUCUUCGGAACUGAGAGAGCGGCGUACGGGUGCGUAACACGUGUGCAACCUGCCCUUAUCUGGGGGAUAGCCUUUCGAAAGGAAGAUUAAUACUCCAUAAUAUAUUGAACGGCAUCGUUUAAUAUUGAAAGCUCCGGCGGAUAGAGAUGGGCACGCGCAAGAUUAGCUAGUUGGUGAGGUAACGGCUCACCAAGGCGAUGAUCUUUAGGGGGCCUGAGAGGGUGAUCCCCCACACUGGUACUGAGACACGGACCAGACUCCUACGGGAGGCAGCAGUGAGGAAUAUUGGUCAAUGGGUGCAAGCCUGAACCAGCCAUCCCGUGUGAAGGACGACUGCCCUAUGGGUUGUAAACUUCUUUUGUAUAGGGAUAAACCUACCCUCGAGAGGGUAGCUGAAGGUACUAUACGAAUAAGCACCGGCUAACUCCGUG